rnacentral:rRNA from 1 species
AAUAUUGGGCAAUGGGCGCAAGCCUGACCCAGCAACGCCGCGUGAGGGAAGAAGGUUUUCGGAUUGUAAACCUCUGUCCUAGGGGACGAAAAAAAUGACGGUACCCUGGGAGGAAGCCCCGGCUAACUACGUGCCAGCAGCCGCGGUAAUACGUAGGGGGCGAGCGUUGUCCGGAAUUACUGGGCGUAAAGGGUGCGUAGGCGGCAUGUUAAGUUGGGUGUGAAAUACCCGGGCUCAACCUGGGAGGUGCAUUCAAAACUGGCAAGCUAGAGUGCAGGAGAGGAAAGUGGAAUUCCUAGUGUAGCGGUGAAAUGCGUAGAUAUUAGGAGGAACAUCAGUGGCGAAGGCGACUUUCUGGACUGUAACUGACGCUGAUGCACGAAAGCGUGGGGAGCAAAC